AAACUUUCAACAACGGAUCUCUUGGUUCUCGCAUCGAUGAAGAACGCAGCGAAAUGCGAUAAGUAGUGUGAAUUGCAGAAUUCAGUGAAUCAUCGAAUCUUUGAACGCACAUUGCUCCUCCUGGUAUUCCGGGAGGCAUGCCUGUUCGAGCGUCAUUA
rnacentral:rRNA from 1 species